UACGUAGGGUGCAAGCGUUGUCCGGAAUUAUUGGGCGUAAAGAGCUCGUAGGCGGUCUGUCGCGUCGGCUGUGAAAACUCGGGGCUCAACUCCGAGCUUGCAGUCGAUACGGGCAGGCUAGAGUUCGGCAGGGGAGACUGGAAUUCCUGGUGUAGCGGUGAAAUGCGCAGAUAUCAGGAGGAACACCGGUGGCGAAGGCGGUUCUCUGGGCAUGUCCUGACGCUGAGGAGCGAAAGUGUGGGGAGCGAACAGG
rnacentral:rRNA from 1 species